UACGUAGGGUGCGAGCGUUAAUCGGAAUUACUGGGCGUAAAGCGUGCGCAGGCGGUUUUGUAAGCCAGAUGUGAAAUCCCCGGGCUUAACCUGGGAUUGGCAUUUGGGACUGCAAGGCUGGAGUGUGGCAGAGGAGACUGGAAUUCCUGGUGUAGCAGUGAAAUGCGUAGAUAUCAGGAGGAAUACCGAUGGCGAAGGCAGGUCUCUGGGCUGACACUGACGCUCAUGCACGAAAGCGUGGGGAGCAAACAGG
rnacentral:rRNA from 1 species